AGCAGUUUGCUACCUGAGGUGGAGGUGGUUGAGACCAGCUCCUGUCCAGUGGCUAUUCCCUUGGGGGAUGGGAAUGUUUUGCCUGACACUAGGAAGACUGUCCAGGUUGCUGGCUGCCAGGAAGUUGCAGUUAAACGAGAAACAGAACUCACUCUAAAUGCAUAGAAAAAUGUGUCCCAGAGGAAAGCCCAGAGAAUGUGGAUUCCGUGGGCUCUGUAACUGGAGACAAGCCCAAUUCAAAGAGCUGAUUUCACAUACAUGGCACAGAAGAGGAUUGAAAGUAUUGAGCCCUGCAACAUAUGUACUGACACUGACUCAUGCAGCUUCACUUUCUUGAUUGCAGUCAUUCUGUUGGGGUGAUGCCAGAGAACAAGGAAAAGGCUGCCCAGUAAAAUAUCAUCCUUCCUCUGUCAUUCUCGCUGUCACGAAUACCUGGGACGAAUGCCUUGGUUUUGUCUUGCAGAAUAAAUAACAACAACUUGAUUCUUUGUAAGGGCAAAUUUUCAAUUACCCUUCCUGAGUGUCAUUAGAGAUGGAUUCCAAACUCUCCAAGCCAAGGAAUAACCUGAAGAGGAAAGACCUAGGCAAUGAAUAAAGCGAAAUGCUAAGAUAUUGUGCAAAUAAACAAUGCUUUGCCAUUUUAUUGCAUGAGCGUCAGCCUGAGAGCCAGCCUUCAGAGGAAUGCAGUGAGGGAAUGCUGGCUGAAAGUGUACUCUACUUUCAUAAACUUAACCAAAUUUCCGCUCUGGCAGCCACUGUGACUACUUCAAACUCUGAGUCAAAUACGGCAAGCUUUAACUCAGUUUAUCAGUAUGAGGAAAUUAGUAUCCCUUCAUAUGUAGUCUCUUUGUUAACUCCUUGCCUAAUUAGCCUGAUUGUUGUGCACGAUUAAAACUAUUUUUGUGUCAAGAGCGAGAAUUUAAUAGCUGUAAUUUGACCACAGCGGCAAAUACUAUGGCUCUGUUCCCAAGGCCAACUGACUGUCCUCAAAUCCUACAAAAUCAGGCCCAAUUACUCACACAACAGUCUGUCCCACAGGGCUCCAACUAGGAAUAAAACAUAAAAUCAUCAUCCCCAAUUAUGUUCUCAAUUUGCCAAUUGUAAGACAAUGAAACAGCCAUGUUGAUAUGGAGGGCUGAGCAAACUAUGGCUCCACAGGCUUGUUAAGUGUCUUCGAUGCUUUUGUUGUACAGCCCCUACUGCAGCUAACAAUAAAGGACAUGAAAGUAACAGAAAGGGUUUUUCUGAUGAUUGUUCUCCUCCUCUUUGGCUUUUAGUGCUAACAGAAACAGAUUAGCACACGAGGAAGGAGCGCUGUAAAGGGGAGAACAAAUAUAACCCAGGAAAAGAAAGACCCGAAGAAAAUGAGAGGAUGAGAAUUAGAGAGAGUGGAAGAACCCAGGGAAAAAAGAGGGAUAGAUUGAGAGAGAAAGAGAGUGGUAAAAUGGAGAACAAUGAGAGAGCAGAAACAAGAGAGAGACAGAAAGAAUGCAAAAGGAGAAGUAGGCCUUGUCUAUAGCAUUACCACUCGCUUUUCCAUUGUGAGGGCAGCUCUCAUUCUGGUGUCUUUAUGCCGCAGGGCAGGGGCGAGCUCUGCACACAGUUCCAGGAAGGUUGCUUUGCGCAUUCAAAAGUUCUGCAGCCGCUGCUCGUCAUCCCAUAUCUGCAUCACGAUGCAAUCCCACCACUCUAUGCUUGUUUCCCAAGCCCAGUAUCAACAGUCCACUGUGGCAAACUGGUCCGUGAAUCCCAGCAGUAAUCUUGAAUUAUCUGUUUCCAUGGCAGACAGCAGGGCAGGCAUCACUGAUUCCCUCUGUUUCGCAGCUUAUGAAAUACUGCAGGACCAGCCGCAUUGUGUUCAUAAUGUUCAUUGCCAGAAUGGUCAGCAGCUCAGGCAUGCUAUCAGGCAGAGAUGGUGGAUGUACAGUUUACAAGGGCUGUUGAAAAAUGGCACAAAAUUAAGUAGGAAGCCCAUGGAAUGCUGGGACAGAAAGAACCGCAUCACAGGAUGGCAAGCACGUCCCCAUGAUGCACUGAGAUCCAUUCCCAGCCGCAGAGGGUGACAGAAGUUGGUGAGUUCCACUGUGGGAUAGCUACCCAGGAUGCAACACUCUGUCUGUCGAUGCAAGGGCUCAGCCAACACAAGGAACGUUGUUUGGAUGUGCUCCGUCCAUUUUAUUAAAGCGACUUCUGAUUGUUGACAAAACUUAAGUUGGCUUAACUCUGUACUGAAGCAGCGGAAGAAAGUUAUGUGGGAGACAAAAAAUAUAAGGCCAAGUAUGGUUGGCUUUCAGUGAAUGCUCUAGUGUUGAGAGGGCAAAGGGAGGCUUUACUUUCCCUGAGUUGCACAGGAGACAGCCAUAAAUGGGCUGCAAGCACUGAGGAGGAGUGUGAUAGAGGAACCAUUGUCACAACUGCCAGCCUAUAUUUCCACAAGGUAAAGCUUUUUAAUGGGGUAGCAAAAGCCAAUGAUAAUCAAAUUAGAUUUCCUAGUGGCACUGUGAUUUAGAGGGGCCUGGUGUGUCCCUCCAUGCCACAUAAACACUAUAAUUACUCCACAGGCUUUGGAUGACUCAUAUUUUUCAGAAAAAAACAGUUGAAAUAUGACAUAUAGUUCUCUGAAAAUGUGUAUUUAUUCAUUGCUCUAAACGUUGGAGAGUAAUGAUUUUUAACAUCCUCUCUUCCUUAUUCUUGUUGAUCCCCAGAACUUUUUUCUUCCGGUAGCUUCUUUCUUUAUCCUGAUUUUUCUUUUUUCUCCUUUCUGUCUUAGUGUCUCCUUGAAAACUAUUGAAAUGUGAUCCCUUAGUGCAUGGAUCAGCUCUGAUAAAAAUGACUAGUGUCAGGCAUAUAAUUACCAGAUAACUGUUUGUUUAAUGAAUUUAGCUCCUAUUCUGUUCAUGGAUUACCUGGGAUUCAUGACUUAGACCAUUAUAAGUUUGUUCAUUAUUUAAAAUUGCUUAUUGAAUGUUUUCUGCAACCAUAUUCAGCUUAUAGAUUACUUGAAAACUAUUCACUAUAAUUAUUGCCAUGAGUAUAUGACAGAGUCAAUAUAAGGCACAGGCAUCACAGGCCUGUUGCUAUGGCUCCAAAUCCUGAAAUCACUAGUUUCCUUCCCGCCAGAACCAGACCUGAUAGCGCUGACUCCCCAUGACAUCGCCCCCAGACACAAGGGGUGUCCUGGCCAUGAGUUACCUAUGACACUGUCAAGCUGUCUGGAAUGGGUGCCAACCUCAGGGCAGACUGUUACAAACCAGGGCACAAACCCCAAACUGGUUGUGUGUUCUAUAGUUAGAUUUCACCAACCAAGUAUGAACUCUUCAAGCACUGUAGCAGCCUUAGCAUGGAGUCACAGAAAGUCCCAUUGGGGACUCUGAUCUAUCUUGCCACCCAGGCAAGCUUGUCUUUGUGAUAGUUGGUCCCUAACACCAAAAAUCACAACAAUAUUCAAGUUACUCCCAGUCCCAAUGGACCCGUUACUUACCCCAGAUCAAUUGUACCUUGGAUGUGUCACCAAAGACAACACUUGUAGCCAAUCCUGUAAUUAACUAAAGAUUUAUUAAUUAGGAAAAGGUCAUAUGGUUUAAGCAGGUAAACAUGCCCACAGAUGAGUUACAGUCAUAGGUAACAGAAGCUGCUGGCAGUGUGAAAGCUCUAUGUGUCCUUUAGGGCUAACCUAAGCUAAGCAGCUUGGGGAUCCCUUGCUUACACUUAGAAAUACUGACCUCUCCAAAUUCCAAGCAGCAUAGUAAUACAGAUCCUUCUGGUCAGGGAUUUUUAUUCACUCCUCCCAGAGUUCUAACUGUGAUGGGACAAAGAUUUGUGCAUGUCCCCUCUUCAUGGGUGUGUGUGGGGGGAGCAAUCAACAGCGUCUUUCCCCCACUGACAUUCCAUAUUGGUUCAUCUGGUGUCCAUAGACCUUUUUUGUUUGGUAGGAAAUGACACCUCUUUUGAUAAACCAGUACUCACGCUUGGUAAUGCUUCUAUCAUGACUGUUGGGGGGGGGGUCUCAAAGAAAACACUUUUAGAGUUUUUAUAGUUACAAAGUAAACACUUAAAUAUUACCUUAUAAUAUGGGAUACAGAUAUUAUAAGUGAGAUUAAUGCAUGCAGCAACUCACAAGCAUUUCAUAAAGUCCAAACAUUAAACAUAUCUCUAUAAAUCUAACGCCUAUUUUAAGAAUACUAUCACACAGGUGAGCCAGCCUGGUUUCCAGCUCUGCAUUUGUCAGUAUUCAGUAAGGACUAGGGGCCUCGGCAUGAGCUGGCACCUGGUCUGCCAGCCUCACAGACACCAAGGUGAAUUUAUUCUAAUUUUGAAGUAUUUUUGUCUAGCCCUACAUGAUGAAUCUUCUGGAUUUAAUGGAAACAGCAAAAUUGGGUACUUUAGCCAAGAGCUACUGAGUCCUGAUUACCAGAGACCAAAGCUUUAUUCUGAGCUAAUG